GUACACUCCUGCGGGAGGCAGCAGUGGGGAAUAUUGGACAAUGGGCGCAAGCCUGAUCCAGCCAUGCCGCGUGAGUGAUGAAGGCCCUAGGGUUGUAAAGCACUUUCACCGUAGAAGAUAAUGACGGUAUCCGGAGAAGAAGCCCCGGCUAACUUCGUGCUAGCAGCCGCGGUAAUACGAAGGGGGCUAGCGUUGUUCGGAAUUACUGGGCGUAAAGCGCACGUAGGCGGAUCGAUCAGUCAGGUGUGAAAUCCCAGGGCUCAACCCUGGAACUGCCUUUGAUACUGUCGAUCUGGAAUAUGGAAGAGGUGAGUGGAAUUCCGAGUGUAGAGGUGAAAUUCGUAGAUAUUCGGAGGAACACCAGUGGCGAAGGCGGCUCACUGGUCCAUUACUGACGCUGAGGUGCGAAAGCGUGGGGAGCAAACAGGAUUAGAUACCCCAGUAGUCCCA
rnacentral:rRNA from 1 species